rnacentral:misc_RNA from 1 species
UUUCCGUAGGUGAACCUGCGGAAGGAUCAUUACCAAAUGUCCGGCCCUUCGGGGCCAGGCGGGAUCCGGCGACCCCGAAAGGGCGAGCCGAACCCCUACACCCUUUGUGAAAAACCCAAGUUGCUUCGGCAGCUCGCCCUUCCCUUCACCGGGAAAAGGCGGUCAGCCUGCCGACAGCCCCCAAUGAAACCCUUUACAAGUUAGUAUAUACAAUGUCUGACCAAAAUGUCGAAUGACUAUAAAACUUUCAACAACGGAUCUCUUGGUUCCCGCAUCGAUGAAGAACGCAGC